UUUAUUUUAGUGGUAAUAAUUGAGCUAAAAAGAUUUGAAAGUGAAGGUUUAGGCAAUAGAAUCCCCAGUGUGAAUUCCAAGACAAGGAGUAGGGGAGGGGGAGCAAGAUGAUGUAAAGAAAAAGACAUAAGAUUUCUCUUUUGCUUUCCAUAAAGGUAGUGAUAAAAUAUCUUCCCUGUAUACAUGAUCAAAGAUUCAACAUUGGCUUCCAGAUUGUUGCCUUUGCACUAAUUGUCACUAACCAUAAAGUUGUUUCUUUUCUUAGACCAUCAUGCUUGCCUUUUUUGUAAUUUAUCUGUGAAGAAUCUUACGACCAAUUAUAUACGAAUUAAAUUAAAUUAAAUUAAAUUUUACUUUUAUUUAAUUUAAUAAAAUAAAUCCAUAAAAUUGGAUAAAUCGGCAACGUUGCAAAUGGGAGAAAGGAUAUUUAGGUUUAGGGUGGUCAAUUUCCAAUUAUAGGUCUAAAUGAGCUUUAAACGAGUAUUUAAUCGAGUCAAGUUUAUUUAUGUUUGAACUUUGCUCAUUUAUUAAAUGAAUUCUGAAAUUUUGUUCGAAUUAAUUUGUUUAAACAAAUAUAGACGAAUUUAACUUAAAUCUAUUUACGAAUUGUUUUGAAUCUUACAUGACAAUAUUUGAGAAAAAUAAACAAUUUUUAGCGUCAAGAUGCUGGUCAAAAAGCACUUAGCUUUAGCACGAUUGAUUUGGAGGAAAAGUUGAGUUACGCAAGCACCGCCCAUAACAAAGGCACCAAAAAGAUAAAUAGAAGCUCAUAAUUAAAUUUAAUGGGUAUUUCUUUUUAUUUUUUUUAUUUUUGACAUAUGCACAGUAAUUGAGAUAGACAUAAUGCUUUUCAAAAAAAAAAUUGGGAUAGAGACAUAAUAAUUUAUCAUGAUUUGGAAUUUCGUAUCUAUUAAGGAAACAAUUGAGUUAGAACAGAAAAGAUUUUUUUUUUUUUUAUAUAUAGAAGGGAGAAGAUAUAAAAGAACUUAUUACAUCAUCUUAUGCCAUGAUAUUAUUUUAAAUAUUGUAAAAUAAAUCAAAAUGUUUAUAUUGCUAAAAUUAAAGUAAAAGAAAAUACAAUAUAUUAUAUUAUUUAAAGAAAAGCAACAACGAAUUAGCAUUAUUUUUCUUAACUAUUAUGGAACUAAUCAUGUCAAAAUAAAAAAGAAAAAGGAGUUGGCGGUCAUUGGUGUUCUAAUGACUUCGAAUGCAUUCGAAAAUUUCAGAACUACAAGAAAAUUAAAAAAAUAUCGUCCAAUUAAACCAAUUAAACCUUGUACGUUUAUGCUAUUCCCUAAAGGUAGUGAUAAUAUAUCACAACAUUGGCUCGGAGAUUGUUGCCCCUGCAGUAAAGGUCACUAAACAUAAAGAUAUUUCUUUUCUUAGACCAUCAUUCUUGUCUUUUUGCAAUGCACAUGUGAAGAUUCUUACUACCCAUGAUGGGAAAAAAAAAAAAAAGAACCAUGAAAUUUUUACUUUUGUAUGGAAGAUGGAAAAAAAUAAUUUAAGGAGGGUAAAAAUAAGAAUAUGAUAAUGAUUUAAUUGCCUUGAUUUUAUUUUUAUUUAUAAAAAUUUAAAAUCUUCAAAUAUGAUUUAAUAAUAGAGAUACAUAUUUGUUAUCAAGUUCCAAUAUUUCUUCUUAAAUAAGAAAGAAAAAGAAAAAGUGAAAAUUUGAUAAACUUUCUUAGUAGGGGAAGAUAAGGGCGUGCGUCACCUUCAUGCAUGUUAUUAUCAAAUCAAUAUUGAAAAUAAUGCCUUAAUUCUUGUUGAAGAUACGUUAAAUGCCUUGAAAAUAGGCAAGGAGAGAUAAGUUCAAGAAAAGCAAAAAGCAGCCGUAAGUCAAGAUGUAAUGUGUUGAUCUAAAUUGCUGGCAAGAUGAAGCUGCAAACUUUAUUGACUGCAAUAUAAUAAUAGUCUUUAUCUUUGAAGAGCAUGGCAGCUAAAGUUAUGAUGUAAUAAUUCUUGGGUAUUAUUGUAAUUGACUCUAUCUUGUCUGAGCUAACCCCAGAAUAAGAAAAGCAGGCGUGGAGUGCGGAGAGACCAAUUUCUAAUUCGAGUGGCUCAUUAGGACAAGACCAAAAGCCGAUAAUGGUUGGAAAAUGCCAUGGAAUCUGGUGUUGUUGCAUUGAUACGUGGCAUGUUGUUGUCCAACAGUACUGCAUUUGUUGCGUGUUGGGGUUGCGAAUUCCAUUAGCAAAAUUAUCAUUAUUUUUAUUCCUUUGAAAUUCUCCUAUUCGUAUUUUCCUUUUGGACUGUCCUUAAACCUUAAUCCAAUGGAAAAUCUUUUUCUUUUCUAUGGAAAUAUAUGGACAAAAACAAGAAUAUCAAUGCCGUACUGCCUACGGUUGAGCAUUUCAGUUUUCAUAUAGAGAUCGAAACGCAUCAGUAUCAAUGUUUUUCAUAUUUUUUGCUAUAUAAAUAAAAAUGUAUAAACUUGGAAUAUAUAUAUAUAUAUAUAAACUAUUUUUAUCAGAAAUAUAAAUGUAUUAUACUAAAUAUUUAUAUGUUCGAAAAUUGAAAACAAAAACAUAGAAGAUUCAGAUCCAUAAUUGAAUUAACUUAUUGUAGAAAAAAAAAUUUUGUGAAAAUUAUUUUAUUAGAAAAUUUAAUAUUUUUAUUUAAAUAAAUAAUAUUUUCUGUUAUUUAAAUCACUCUGUAAAACAUCUUUUUCUCAUUAUUUUUCACAAAAAAUAUUUUCCCAUUUCUUACCUCAAUGCUAUUCAGUCCCUGGGAAAGAGAGAAUAGAACGGGAAGGCAGUAAAAGGGAUGGUGAAGGAGGUCGACCAAGGGGAUUAUCUUACGUCCUGCAACCUGCAACGGUUUAUUUUUCAUCGACCGGUAUCAAAAUUUUUGGUCAUUGCAUUUAGGAUUCAAUUGAUUUAGGAUUCAAACAAGAAAUAAUUUAGCCCAACCCUAUUUAUCUAUAUCUGUCCAAGAAAUAGCCCAUCUACUAUAAUAGUUAGCCAAUCCCACUUAACUUGACCCAAAAGCAUCAGCCUACUUGCUUAACGAAACUCAAGUCCCAAAAGCCUUCAUAAUGAGAAAUCAUUAACAAUCCUCUAGUCCAAAUUUGAUUUCCCCUCCAAUGUUUUUCUAUUUUCACAUUUUCCCUUUCAAUUCCGCUGCCUACCUUGAGUUCUGCACAUCUGCAUUAAUUUUUUGGAUAGCGGAUAUUAUGAUAACAUUGGGAUGUUAUGCAUUGAUGAAUUGAUUUGGUGAGUUCCUCGUGAGCAUGCAGGCAGGCAGUGUAGCAGUGGUGAAGGUCAUGAUUUGCUAAUUUUUUUACUAUAAUAUAAAAGACAAACCACCAGUCACAACCAUGGACAAUAAUACCGACUACAGGUGGCUUUUCUCUCCAUUUGGCAAUGAACAAAACGUAUGAAGACAGCUGUAGGACAGCAAGACUGAAAACUGAAAACUGAAAAUGAGUGACUACAACUAGAAUCCUCUCCCCCCCAACGCAACAUUGAAAGUAACUUCUGAUUUGUAGCAAAAUAGCGGAGAGCGGGAUUAAAAUCACUACUUAGCCGAGUGAAGUGUCCAUGAAUAAGGGCUGCAUAAUAGAUGCCUCCAAAUUAAUGUCCAGGUUAACUGUCUUGAACUAGAGUGAGAAAUGAAAACACCAGAAAGUUGAUCCACAAUCUUAAACAAAGUGAUAGAAAUAUUCUUCGAAAGUAAGUUCAUACUAAUGAAUCAAAAAUUCCAAUUGGAAAGCAUGUUCAUACUAAUGAAGCAAAAAUUCCAAGCCUAUUUGAGAACCAUAUAUAAUAAGGGAUAUCUUCAAGAUUCUAGAUGUCGUAAUUUAACAAAAUCCAAACAUAAAAGUGAAAGGAAAGAAAAACAAUAGCAAAAAACAUCUAACAGUCAAAGUUCUUCAAAUCUAGAGGCAGUUCAAGAACUUAAUAUCUUCUCCAUAGAUUCCUACACCGAAGAUACCACAGAACACACUCACACCUUAUAUUCCAGUGAAAGCUUUCUUCCCACCACCAGAAGAUCCAGCAGGAAUCACUUUCAAAACGUUGAACCUCACAGUCUUUGACAAUGGCCUGGAAUUAAAAAUUAUUAGACAUGAAUUACAAACAGCUAAAAUUGUCUACCCCUAUCUGUAAAAAUGAUUAGAUUCAUAGACAUUUAAUAAAAUCCUUGUGUUUCAGAACUUUUACCUGCAUUGCCCGAUAAUGACAUGAUCCCCUUCCUUCACACGGAAGCAUGGAGAAAUAUGUGCAGGAAUGUUUGAAUGCCUCUUCUCAUACCUAAAAAAAAAAAGGAAUUUAUCAAAAUAACUUCAAAAAAUAACUAUUCACAUAAGAAAAAUCCAUAAAAAAUGAAGCUGUAUCAUGCCUUUGGUAUUUCUUGAUAUAAUGAAGGUAAUUCCGUCGAACAAUGAUUGUCCUCAUCAUCUUGGCACUAUGACAAGUACCAGCUAAGAUACGACCCCUGAUGGAAACAGUGCCAGUGAAUGGGCAUUUCUUAUCAAUGUAGGUUCCUUCAGGAAACAAAUACAGAAAAAAAAAAAAUUAACAACCAGCAAUCAUAAUCUGGAUACCGACAGAACUGUUAACACAUAAAAACAUAUUCUCUAUAUCCCUUCCAAAUAUCAGAGUCUUCAUGUUAAUCAAGCCAAGUAGUAAACCAUCAUUUCUUUCUUAUAAAGUACUAUGUAUCACGCGUCAGUAUAUUAGCAUUAUAAAGGAUCCAUUAUCUGAAAUUUCAAAGGUAUGGCAAUAUAGAAAUAAAGCAAUUACUAUUUAGAAUGAUAUUGGCUUUUCCAGCUAACAACAAACAAAUGUUUACUCAGCUUACUAAAUGCAAGUAUCCAAGUAACACUCACAACUUAAAUAAAAUUUUACAUAAACUAAGCAUCCCCACCACCUAUAAUAAAUACAAUAAUAGAAAUAAAAAUUAAAAAAGGAAACUAAAAAGCCAACAAACCUUCAAUAGCUUCACGAGGAGUCUUGAAGCCCAAACCAAUGCUCUUCCAGAAGCGGUUCCCUCCCUUUCCUGGUCUCUUCCCUUUCCCAGAUUUCUUCGAGCUGAAAACAAUACAAAAUCAAUAAAACCCAUCUAAAAUAAAAAACCCAACUCGAAAAAUGUAAAAAGUUGCAAAAUUUUCAUGGUUUUUGAGUUUUGAGAUUACCUUAAAAACACUUUGGGUUGCUUCAAAAAUGCCUUCUCGGUCUGCAAACAAAAGAAAAACCAGAAAAUGAAAAGCCAAGCAUAGAGGGAGGGAGAGGGGGAAGAAGGAAAGAGAAUGGGAUCUGAAUGUGAACCUGUUCUGCCAUGGUUGAUGAGCUCUCUGGAGGGAGUGAGGCGCGGCUGCUGCGGGCAAAGAGAAGUAAAAAUGAGAGAGCUUUGCUACGAAAAACCCUAACCCUAACUAAUAAGUUGGCUUUUCAUAAGGGAUUCGUUUGGGCCACCUUAUCAAGCUGGGCCUUCAAAACUUGGGUCUUGAGAUCUUCUAUUUGGGCGAAUACAUGGUUUGUCACUUGAUUAGUUUUUCUUUUUUUUUUUUGUUGUGAAAAGUUAUUAUAAAACAAAUGCAAAAAAUAAAAAAAUAUAAUAAACUAAAUUUGGAUAAAUAAUUAAAAUAUAAAUACCAAUAUAACAUAAUUAGUUUAUAUAAAAGUAGAAUAAUAUGUUUCAUUAUUUUAAAAAAUUACAUAUUUUAUCUAUAGUUUUCUCAAAAUUAUUAUUUUCUUUUGUAUCUAAAUGUACAUAUUUAUCUAGGAUAUUUUUUUUUUGUUUCUACCUAAAAGGGUAAAUAUAAAAAUUUUACAGUUUACUUCCUUGCAUUACCAAACGAGAGCAUGAAUUUCAUCUUCCUUUAUCUUUAAUUUAUUCAUGAACCAAGCAAGGCCUUUCUAAUGCUCUGUUGCCUUAUGACUGGCCUACCUUUUUUCACUUACCUUUAAAUUUCCAUUACUUAGAUGUUGGCUUUAGGAAAAUGAAAGUAAUAAAGUUUUUAAGCUGCUUCUAAUAAUUAAUUUCAUUUUACUCUAGGUUGACUCGCUUGGAUAUUAGUUCCGCGUCAAGGUAAAUCAUUCUAUUGCUUUACAUGAUCGCCCUCGAAGAGCAUUCACUGAAAAGAGCAUGCAAAAGCAAGGUCUAGCCCCCACUAGGCACCCCAACUCAAAAACUGACCAAAGCAAAGUAAAUUCAAUAGCCAUUCUGUUGACCCUAAGCAUUUUUCAGAUUUUAGGCCUGAAAUGGCUACGGGCUAUAUCAACAACUCUAUUGGCAUUCUUAGGCGGAGUGCAAAUAAAAACAUUCACCCUGUGAUGGAGAUGUAUGCUGAACCUAUCAAUAUGGAGUUCUCUGAUGCUACAUCAAGUGAUUGGUCUCUUUUGACAAGCUCUGAUAAGGUUUCAUUUACAAUAGAGAGUACUAGAGACUCUUUCAGUACUGUGGACUAUGCUGAUGCCAGUAGUGGAGAUUCAUUGUCAAUCUUCAACAACUCGUUUACUCCAAAAUCCUCCUCUUACAACACGGUUUCGUGUAGAAUCUUGUCAACUAGUAAACCCCAGACUAGGUAUAUAUUAGAGGAGAAGGGUUAUGUUUUUGAUUCAUACUUAUUAGCCUAACUUGUGAUUAGAGUUCAAGAGAACUUGAAGCAGGUCGGUAAUUUUUUGACCAAAAUUUCUUUGGAUAGUGACUAUGGCAUGUCUGUAAAAUAUGGGAGUAACCCAAAAAAUGCUCUUGAUAGAACUUAUGGUCAUUGUGAACUAUAGCUUGUGAAAAUUCCAACUGAUUAAAUAUUGACUUAACCAGCUAGAAGUGUUGCCUCAAUUUUCGUUUCAAUGCUUUAUUGAUUGAGUUAUGUGGAUCGUAUUAAAAUAACCAAGGAAAGGAAUAUUCUUGUUAUUUUUCAAAAAUAUUUUUUGAAGAUUGUAUAGCGCCAGCAUUUAAAAAUAAAUGUUAUUCUUUGAAUGCUUUAGUCUGUUGAUAUUGAAAUGGUAAUGUUAAUGCCUCCUUUAAUACUUUCCACGACUUCUGCGUUGGGCAUUGCGCCGAGCUUAAUUAUUAUUGUUACCCCAAGCAGCAACAUUACCCCUCGAGUUAGCGGCACCAGCGUUGUUUCCAAGAGGAUUAGCCACACCAGCUUUGUUUCUACGGCCUCGAGUAUUGCCUUGAGCAGCAACAUUGCCCUUUGAUUAGCUACACCAACAUUGUUUCCAGGACGAUUAGCCGCACCGCAUUGUUUCCACGCCCUUUGCGAUCUCUGCGCUGAGCAUUGCCCCAAGCAACAGCAUUGCCCCCUGCACCAGGAUUAGCUGCAGCAGUUGCACGACAUUCACGUUCCUGUUCCUAUAAGUGCAUUAUAAAAAAAAAGCUAUAAAAUGAAAAAUAAUAGUGUAGAAGAAAACCUGCUUUGACAACAUAUUAGCCAACUUUGUGUAAAACAACAUAUGAGAUUGGAGUUGUAAAAAAGGCUUGCACACAUAUGCGAUUAGAGUUGUUUGAAGGGUAGUGGCAUAUCAUAAUGGUAAUUUCAGUUCACUAUGUACCUAAGGUAGUUUCAGUUCACUGCGCAUAACAACAUGAAGCCAGCAACUAUAGGCAAAUUUAUCCAUGUCUAUUAAAAUUCUAUAAUUUCUGCACUUCUCCCUUUAGCUGUCACAACCAAGACAUCCUUUGUAUCCCUAAUAAUUAUGUAAUUUAAAAGGAUACAAAAGAACAUUUUUGUAAAUGUUUUUGCAACUGACGUCUAAUAUAGUUUUUGCAGUGAGCGAUGGGACAAUUAUGUUGUUUUGGCAUGAUGAAUGGACCAGUGGGUGUGGUCCUGGCUCAUGCUUUUCAAGAAUUCUUGCUUUGGCAGAGAACAAAAAUAGCAAGAUUGUGGAAUAUGGUGGAUGGGAAAAGGAAAGAUGAGUCUAAAAUGUGAACCUUAGAAGUUAGCUUUUUGAUUGGGAAGUUGAUCAAUGAGAGCAUUUUGAGAAACUAUUGCAAGAUUUUCAGCUAAGUAAAGAACUUAAGGACGAGCUAAUUUGAGAAAAAGAAGCAAAUGGGAACUAUACUGCCAAGUCGCUCUGUAAGUAUGUCUUGUCCUCGAAUGUUGAAUAUAAUGGGCUAUGGAAACAUGUAUGGGCUAGGGUAGCACCUUUUAGGGUGGAAACUUUUGUUUGGCAAAUGGUUCACGGUAAGGUAGGGGUUAAGGAUGAGCUAGUUAAAAGGGGUGUAUAGUUAAACAAUUAGUUAGAUUGUGUGCUAUGUAAGAAAGAGAUAUGUAAUCAUCUAUUUAUUGAAUGUAAAGAGUCUUGGAUGGUCUGGUCGUGGUGGUGCAAAAGAUGGGGGGUUGUUUGGGUUUCACCAGGAAAUACUAAAGAUUCGUUGGUGGCUUGGAAUGGAUGCCAUAUGGAUGGUUUUCAUAAAAGAAUUUAGGAAAUGACAUUCUUUUCUAUGGCCUGGUCAUUAUGGAAAAGCAAGAACGAAAUUGUCUUCGAAGGGAAAGAGUGGGAUAUUAAUCAGUGUUUGGAAUUGGCAAAAAUUAGAGUUACUGCUUGAGCAAAUGCAAAGUAGCCUGGGGAGCACCAUCAAUUUUAGACAUUUAUAGACAAUUGUCACGCCGCUUUUGUGGAGGAGGGCGGGACAGCCCGAUGGCAAGGGCUUGAGGCUCGGGAGUGGACAAGCCAGCUCGAAGAGGGACGAGCAACGAGGGCUGGAACCCCGAUUUGGCGCCAAGGGACUUGAGACAUCGGCACCCAUGGGCGGAUGAGAGCGCAGGCCAGUUAUCAGAUUGGACACGUGGGCCAGCAGACAGGCAGUGUGCCUGGGCCAGCAGGCAGACGGGGUGCGCAGGCGUGCAGGAAAAUGGCGAGCAGCAGAGUUGGCAGACUGGCGCGCAGCGGGUGGGCGCGAACUGCCCAGGCAAUCUGCCAGAAGCGCGGGAAACACUAACCAACCCGAAACCUGCAGGGCAGCCGUUGCCUGCCAUUGGCAACAGUGCCAGGGACACAUCAGAGGGGCCCAGCAGAGCUCAAAACAGCCCCUAACCGUUGGGAACUGCCUUGUAGCAGCUCUAAGGGGUCCUAAGUUGUAUAAACCUCUUGAGUCCCCUCGUUUGAGAUUAAUGACUCUUAUAUUGAAAUUUCUAUCAAUAAAAGCUCUCUUUUUGUUCACUUAACUCUCUUGUGCUUGUCAUAAUCAAUCCUAACUAGCUAACUUGAGAAGGCUGCUAGCCUUUCUAACCCCUUUUAACGAUGUAAAGACUACGCCGCACGGGUCAAGAGAAAACCCCGUGACACAAUCACCUAGAUAAAGGCUGCAAAGGAAGACAAGGCAAGGAAGGGGCGACAUCAAAUAGGAAAAACCACAGCCAAGUUUCAUAAAAUUCAAUGUUAAUGGCUGCGUAGGGCCAAGGGGAUAGGUGGUAUCUUGAGGGACCCUUGUGGGGAAGCCAAAAUCACAUUCGCUAAGCCAAUAGGUAUGGCAGACUCUAAUCUUGCAGAGAUUAUAGCAGUAAGAGAAGCAUUGAUCAUUUUCAAUGCAUCAAAAUGGAAGGAUGAAUGUGGACUUGUUAUUGAAAGUGAGUCAAGCAAUGCCGUUAAGUGGAUUCAACAACCUGUUUUAGCUCCAUGAAGGAUUCGAAAGUGGAUGCUACAAAUUGAAAGAUUUAACGAAAAGCUAGCUGGUUGGAUCAUUCAACAUGUGAAAAAGAGGUAAAUCAUACGGCAGAUGCUUUGGCAAAAAAGAGGGGUGGAGCUGAAAUUAGAAUUAUUGCAAAUAUUCUUGUAAAUAUCCUUUCUUUCCUUGUGUGUUGAAUGGUUGCAUGAUGGUUGAGGAGUGCUGGAAAAGAAGGAUGAAGAUUGGUAAAAGAACAUGCUGGAUAUAUUACAUACAUAUCACCCUGUUUCUUGAGGAUAGAUUGGUGAUGAAUAAACCUGAUUAUUGAGGUGGGCAAGACAGGUUUCGUGAUGGGGAUUUUGGUUUUUUUUUUUUUUGAAUUUAAGUGGGUCCUUGAAUUUUGAUAUGAGAUGUUUUUGUAUAUGGGAUAGGAUACUAGAUCCUGUUCUCUGUUAAUUUGUUUUAGUGCAGUGGAGUGGUGAUGAUUGAUGUUCUUGUACAUGAGUAUAUGGGGAGGGGCUUUUGAUGCCUGCAUUGCUUUUUGCUUGUGCAAAAUGAAUGUUUUUUGUCUCGACCUAGGAUGUUUGCUCAAAGGUCUUUUGGGACAGGAUACUUUUGUAUAAGCCAACUUGAAAGGCUCUUUGUAAGGGGUAAAUUUCAUUCCCAGUAUUUAAUGAAAGCUUGCUUAUGAUUUUCCCAAAAAAAAAUCAUGAGAAUGCUAAUAGCUAAACAACAUCAAGAUAUAUUAAAUGUUGUCCUGAACAGAAGACAAUUGAGAGCAAUUGGAGGUGACAUAUGGGUUGUUAUUGAGUUAUUUCGGAUAGGAUCAAUGACUGCCACGUGUUGGCCCAAUUGAGAAACACACGGCCAUUUCAUUCAAUUGAAACUUCUGAUAAUUUAUUUUGGUAGAAAUGGGCAUAACUUUUUAAUCAUUUUUCCCUUUCUUCCGUUUCUUUGGCCUUUCUUAUUUUGCUUUCUUCAUUCUUUGGCUUUUAGAUUUUUUGCUUCUCCCCUCGAUUUCUCCAUCCUCCCUUUUCUUUUACUUUUCCCAUUCCUUUCAUCUUUUUGUCUUCUUUUUUCAUUGCUUUUUUCGUUUUUUACUUUUUUUUGGCUUCCUUAAAUUGUUUUGGUGUUUUUUUCUUUGAUUUGUUUAGUCUUUGAUUUGUUCAACCAUUGUUCUUCUUGGUUUUUUUUUUUACUUUUUUUUGGUUUUGAUUUGUGAUAUGUAUUCUUUUCUCUUUUUUUUUCUUUUUUGCAUUUCGGUUUGGCUGUUGUAUGAAUAUGUCUUGGUUUUGUGACUUCCAUUUUUUCUUCUGUUUUGAUCUGUGGUUUUUGUGUUGCUUUGGUUUGAUUGUGUUAAUUUGCUUUAUGUUUUAGUUUUUCAAGUUGUAUUUUGUUUUCAUGUACUCAUGGUUUGAUUUUUCUUUCUUGCAAGUUCUUUUGUUCGACUUCUGUUUCACUGUUAUUUUUCAAAUUUGAUUUUUCUUUUAUUUAUUCUCUUUUAGUUUUUAUUUAUGUCUUCUCAGUCGAUGCUUUUGUUUUCAAGUUUUUAAGUUGUGCAUGUAAUGUUUUUUUUAUUUGCCUGUUAUUAGAAAAUUAUGUGUCCUGCCUUUUUCUUUUGUUGUUGUUCUAUUAUUGGUUUCAUUCUCGCUUUUGCACCUUUUGCAGCUGACGGUUUUUGUCUUCUUAGAUAUUGCUGUUUCAUUUCCUUGGCUUUUGUUGGUUUUUUGUGUUAUUAGCUUACAUUUUUUUUAGCAUAUCUAUUUUUCUGAUUGUCAUGGUUUUUAUGUUUCUUCUCAUUCCAUCUGUCAAUGAGUUUGCUGAUUCCUUAGCCAAGUUCGGAGUAGGAAGAGAGCAGGAUAUGAUGGUUGUGCUUUGUGAUAACUAAGAAUGACUUGUCCAGGUACAUGGUUAAGAUUUUGCUCUGUUGCUGAUUCCUGAAGUGGCUGCUUUUAUUUGGUUUUUGAUUUUUUUUUUUUGUUUGUUGGUUUGCGUUGACGGGCGAUUCUCUUUGUGUGAUUUUGUCUUUGUCUUUUGAGGGCUGUCUGAUGGUCCUCCUUUGGUUUUGGUGGCUUUGUUGAGGUUUUGAUUUGUUUGUGGGUUCAUUGGUGUCCUGCUGGUAUUUUUUUUUGGGUGGAUUUAUGGAUCUGCAGGUGGUUGUUUUCACGCCAUUUAAUGGGCUGCUUGCUGUGGUUUUCUCUUGGUUUUGUGGCCUUUGAGAAUGUUGAUUUUCGCAUAAUUAUUAUAAGUUAAGAACAAAAAGGAGAAUGAAAAUUGAAAGGGAUUAUAGUGAGCAUUAAGGAGGAGAAAGAGAAAAUAAAAGAAAGGAAGGAGAGCUACUGUGUCGUGGUGCAAGAAGAAGACCAGACAUAUGCUGCAUGGUGAUAGAGCAGCUGUGGUUAAGGAGAGAAAUUCAUAAUAUGGACUAGCAUGGCGAUGUUACAAAUGGAAGAAAGGAUAUUUAGGUUUAGGGUGCUCAAUUUCCAAUUACACUUCUAAACAAGCUUUAUACGAGUAUUUAAUGGAAUCAAGUCUAAGUUUAUCUAUGUUUGAACUUUAUUAAAAUGAAUUCUAGAAUUUUGUUCAGGUUUGUGUGUUUAUCUGGUUAAACGAAUAUAAAUUAGUUUAACUUAAAUCUCUUCAAAAACUAUCUGUCUAAUGUAUUGAUUCACUUACAUUAUUAUCUAUACAGAUUUUAAAUAUUAAUAAUUAACCAAAUACUAACAAUUAUAUCAAAGUAAACUAGAUAUUAACAAAUCUAAUUUCAGAGAUAUAAAACAAAGUACCAUUACAACUUACAAAUGAAAAUUGAGCUGAAUAUAUAUAUUCUUCUUCUGUAAUUACAUCACAUGAACUGCAAAGGCUUAAUUACAUUAUCACACAGCAGCGACUCGGGCGAGGUGGUGGUGGACCAUGGGGACGUUGAGGAUGUGGACCAUGGUGUUGAUGAGGCCCAAACGGUGGUGCAUACGGCUGCGGCGGCCCUGAGUGUGGAUGAUGCGGUCCAUGUGGUGGCCCCGGGUGUGGGUGGUGUGGAGGAUGUUGCAUAUCUUCUUGCACUUACCUACUUAGCUCUUUCUCUUCCCUUCUUAUACUUUGAUGUGCAGCAAACUGUUCGAGAGAACUAACGAACAUAUAUUGUUCACUGCCGAAUAUAUAUACAUGAAAAGACAAAAAUGAAUCACGUUCUGGUUUUUCUAUUUAAGAUAUUUAUUUGUUGGUUUCUAAUGUAUAUUUAUGGUUAUGACUCUCAAUUGAUUUAAGGCCAAAGAGAAUUUUUGUAAUUUUGUUAAUGAAAAAGGAUAAGCCCAUCUGUCUCAAUUCUCAUCAUCUUCUCCCUGUAAAAGUUUCAUCACCGUCCGCGUCGUUGCUCAAGUUUAAACGUGAUCCUUAAUGGCCCACAUGCUGAUAAGAUAAGCUGGAGCUUUUGACUUUUUCUCUCGUAUGGGACACACUUGCUAGAAACAACAUGCAACACACGAGCUGAAUUGCAAUACGAGAAACAAUCUAGGUUGCUAUCAACAUUAUGAUUCCUUCUAAAUUUUAAUAUGCAGCAUCUAAUAUACAAAUUUUGUCACAUUGUUAAUGGGAUUGAUUUCAUUAGAAGUCUGUUAAAAAUACAUUUGACAGCAAUUUAAUUUAAAUGAUGAAAAAAUUUUCAGAUAACUAUAUUUUCAAACAAUUUUUGAUGGAAAGUUUCAUUUGAAUUAAAUAUACAAAAGAAUUGGAAUAUAUUUUUUUAAAAAUUUGCAAAAAAAUUUUUUUAUGAAAUUUUCAAUGAAACUUUAGAAAAUUUGAACAGAAAUUUUGAAUAUGGUAAAGAACAUGUUGACAUCAGACCAAAAUUUAUUUGAAUACUUGUAUAAAAUGAAGAGAAAAAUGACAAACCAUUUGGUUCGGUACUUAAAUUUUUGGAUUAGUGAUUAAUACAAGAGAAACAAUUCUCUUCUUUAUUUUCCUUUAUUUAUGUAUCCACAGAUGCCAAGAUUCAACUUAUAAUUUUUAGGAUAUCGAAAGUGGAUGGCUAUAAUUUGUUAAGCAGCACCGGAUAUAUCAAUAGAGCCUGAAAAUUUCACAUAUUGAAUGGAUACGAGAAGAAUGCAUUGUGCUGAACGGAUAUAUAUAUAUUUGACACUUCAGAAGAGGAGAAUUGGUUAAGGGAACGGGGCCUGAAAUCUCAGUUAAAUGAAUAAUUAAACUGAUCAAGAUUGAAAGUUAUGGCUUCGUUUCUAAUUAAUUGCAAUCCUCUGCUUUUAAUUUUAUAGAAAGUAAAUGUUGAUAUCACAUACUUUGUAAAAUACUUUCUAAUAUUUUACUUAAUCUCCCUGGGCCUGUAUCAGAUACAAGUGCAACCGAUGGAAUUAAGAAGCUCAAAUUAUAAGGUUAAAUUAAGAAGCUCAAAUUAAUUUGUAACAUGCUUUUAUAAUUUUAUCAGAUAUAUCGAAGCAAAAUGGAAAAGAACCCCACGGCUCCAGAAAAGAAUGUUAUGGAAUAUAAGCAGAGCAAAUCUUGUACAUAUACGGUAUUAGUCCAUAUACGUUUAUUUGAUUAACAUAGCAUAACACCCCGUACAAAUUAAGAUCAGGAUUUCACUUUUCACUACUACAAAACAUACAUGAUAUAGCAAACCAGCAUUUUAUUUUAGUAGAACGAUAGCAUUUGUGCAUGCUUAGCAACGUCCGCCAUGGCCGCCAUGCGAGCCACCACCAUGGUGACCAGGACCGCCUGCUGGAGGACCAUGGUGACCCGGACCACCUGCUGGAGGUCCAUGCUGACCCGGACCACCUGCUGGAGGUCCAUGGCCCCCCUCCGGGCCACAACCAUGACCAGGACCGCCUGCUGGAGGUCCAUGUUGGCCCGGACCACCUGGAGGAGGUCCAUGCUGACCGGGACCACCUGCUGGAGGUCCAUGGUGUCCACCGUGGUCGCCGCCCGGGCCACCUACUGGAUGUCCAUCAUGGCCUGGUGGAGGUCCUUGGGGACAGGGAGGAGGCGGAGCCUGAUGCUGAUGAAUCCCUGGUGGUGGAGGUCCGUGAGGAUGAUCGUGCAUCUUAUCUGCUGUUGUAGUUGGUAUCGUUCUCUGCUUUGCUUCUUGCUGGUGCGGUGAAACGGUUUGAGAGGACUAUUGGAUUUAUAGUAGUGCGGUCCUUGUUUUCAUUAUUUUUUGGCCAGAAUGGUCCCAGACUUGCAGAUAAGGUUAUUACCAUGAGAACUUUGGUCGGAGGUUGUUUAAUGCAUACCUUACACGUUGUUGACGUGACCAUUUGUUGGGAUAUUUCCAUUGGUAUGUGGUUGUUAUUCUCCAUUGACAUGAUGAGGCCAACAACCUUAUCUUUC
rnacentral:lncRNA from 1 species